rnacentral:ncRNA from 2 species
AUUCUUCAUUUCAGUUACCUAAGUAUAUGCUGGAGAUAGGGUUCAGCGUUUCUACCGGGCACCGUAACAGGCCUGACUACAAAGGGGAUUUUAAUGAAG